rnacentral:rRNA from 1 species
AACGCGAAGAACCUUACCUACCCUUGACAUGCCCGGAAUCCCGCAGAGAUGUGGGAGUGCCCGAAAGGGAGCCGGGGCACAGGUGCUGCAUGGCUGUCGUCAGCUCGUGUCGUGAGAUGUUGGGUUAAGUCCCGCAACGAGCGCAACCCUUGUCACUAGUUGCUACGAAAGGGCACUCUAGUGAGACUGCCGGUGACAAACCGGAGGAAGGUGGGGAUGACGUCAAGUCCUCAUGGCCCUUAUGGGUAGGGCCUCACACGUCAUACAAUGGCCGGUACAAAGGGCUGCCAACCCGCGAGGGGGAGCCAAUCCUGGAAAGCCGGUCGUAGUCCGGAUUGCAGUCUGCAACUCGACUGCAUGAAGUCGGAAUCGCUAGUAAUCGUGGAUCAGCAUGUCACGGUGAAUACGUUCCCGGGCCUUGUA